CCGAGAGAGCCCCCGUCUCUAGGGAGACCCUAGCCCCCCGUGAACAGUGCCCCCGUUGCCUCGGCGGCCGCCCCCAGUCGGGCGCCGCCGCCGUGGCCCCUGUGCCUAGCCUCCGCAGCCGCAGUGACUUGUCUGACCGUGAUGGGAAAAUCGAGAAA
rnacentral:misc_RNA from 1 species